AACGAACGCUGGCGGCAUGCCUAAUACAUGCAAGUCGAACGAGAUCUUCGGAUCUAGUGGCGCACGGGUGCGUAACGCGUGGGAAUCUGCCCUUGGGUUCGGAAUAACAGCUGGAAACGGCUGCUAAUACCGGAUGAUGACGUAAGUCCAAAGAUUUAUCGCCCAAGGAUGAGCCCGCGUAGGAUUAGCUAGUUGGUGGGGUAAAGGCCUACCAAGGCGACGAUCCUUAGCUGGUCUGAGAGGAUGAUCAGCCACACUGGGACUGAGACACGGCCCAGACUCCUACGGGAGGCAGCAGUAGGGAAUAUUGGACAAUGGGGGCAACCCUGAUCCAGCAAUGCCGCGUGAGUGAUGAAGGCCUUAGGGUUGUAAAGCUCUUUUACCCGAGAUGAUAAUGACAGUAUCGGGAGAAUAAGCUCCGGCUAACUCCGUGCCAGCCGCCGCAGUAAGAC
rnacentral:rRNA from 1 species